GACAGAGGCCCCAAGCGUUAGGCGGAAUCACUGGGCUUAAAGCGUGUGUAGGCGGAUCGUUAAGUGUCUUGUGAAAUCCCACGGCUCACCCGUGGAACUGCUGGGCAUACUGGCGAUCUUGGGCCAACUAGGGGCAGUCGGAACAAGCGGUGGAGCGGUGAAAUGCGUAGAUAUCGCGCGGAACGCCGAAGGUGAAAACAGACUGCUGGGGUUGCGCCGACGCUGAGACACGAAAGCCAGGGGAGCAAACGGG
rnacentral:rRNA from 1 species